UACGUAGGUGACAAGCGUUGUCCGGAUUUACUGGGCGUAAAGAGCGCGCAGGCGGUCGAUCAAGUCGAGUGUGAAAGCCCCCGGCUCAACUGGGGAGGGUCAUUCGAUACUGAUCGACUCGAAGGCAGGAGAGGGUAGUGGAAUUCCCGGUGUAGUGGUGAAAUGCGCAGAUAUCAGGAGGAACACCGAUGGCGAAGGCAGGUCUCUGGGCAUUAACUGACGCUGAGGAGCGAAAGCAUGGGGAGCGAACAGG
rnacentral:rRNA from 1 species